AGAAUAUGCUGUUUGGGAACAUCUCACCUAGAGGUGCGUUGUGUCUGGCCUAGCGCUGACGUGGGGAGACAGAGGCCGAUCCAGAAAAUUUCAGUGGAGGCGAGAAUCCCAUGCAAUUGCGAGAACAAUCGCCGAGGAGCUGUCUGUCUCCGGCAGGCCACGCAGUUGCUCCUUAACAUGCUAAGUGAUUGGUUGCUCACUGAACUGAAGACGUGGGGCUUUGAGCGAGUUGAGGAACACGUCGCUAUUCAGUUAAAGGUUAGCCAGAGAGUUUUCAAAAGGGGAAAACACUCAUUUUACUGCUACUUUUAUUACGAUGACGGCCAUCGGCGUUACGGCAAUAGCCUGACGUGCUUGCUGAUGUUAUUGGGAUUGAAAAGGAAGCCUAUGGCCUUGACUGUUUGCUUUGGAUAUGGCGGCUGGAGCACUUGCCCCCGUACAUCAUCAGUGGUGGGAAAGCCUGGCAGGGUCCAAGGCAUUCCAUUUCACCUCUGCAGUCCUCUUUCGUUUAAAUACAAAGGGACUAUGCGGUGACCCCAGUUUUCCAGGUCAAAACAGAGACGAGUUCCUCAACAUGGACGAUGACUCAUCAGGAUGACUACACAACACAGCUUCCACUUCUUCAUUCCCUUUCCCCUUCUUGCAUCUUACACCUUCUAUUUAGUUAUUAUUCACCGAAAAGAGACACAUCUAUGAUCAUAAACAUCAAAGAACGGCGGCGUACAUUAUCAACUGAAAGCAGUACUUCCCAUCCCCCCGUGAGGCCAUAAGCCAUGGCUGACUGAACAUGGAAAAAUCCUGCAUGUUGAUUUCACUUCCAAACUCGCUGUUCUCAGAGGACUGUGGAGACUCAAUCUCCACACAGCAGUUAUCACAGCAGCGAGGUGCAGUAGCAAGGCCUCCUAAGCACUUACACUGACAAAAUACAUAAGCAUUGUAGUGUCAGCGAACAGAAAACCCGGCAAACGUCCCUUCUGUGCCGAGGACAUUUACAGGAAGACUGCAUGGGAAGAUGAACUCACCGGCGAAUGUCCCUGUGCUUUAAAUCUGUGGCUAGAAAUAGCGAAAAAAUUCACUGAUCGCACUUGUUUAUUCUUAGGCAUAACACUCAGAUGCUGUAAACUGCCAGCAUUUUAUGCCCUCUCUAAAAUUAUAACCAUCCAUUUGAUCCACUUCCCCCGUAUCCAUAAAGCUUUCCCAUUAAAGGAGGACCUGUCUGGGGGAGCCACAUGGGUAUUUAUACACAGGAGAGGACUGAUGGAUGAAUUUCAGAUGUGCUUCCUGGGUCUCCUGUGGGAUGUUUCCAUUUCUAUACAGGGGAGGAAAUGCUCUAUGCGGCCCCUGGGAAUACUGUAUCUUAGGUGCCUGUGCCACUGCUGUUUCCACUCGAUUACCUCAGCUCAAACUGCGGCAGUUAUUCCAACAGGCCCUCUGUUCCCAUUAUCGCCAUGAAACAGAGUAAAUGCAUUAAGGUGAUGUAUAAUAAACGCAGGCGUGUGCAUGCUUAAGAACUUA